rnacentral:rRNA from 1 species
CGGGUAAGUUCCGACCUGCACGAAUGGCGUAAUGAUGGCCAGGCUGUCUCCACCCGAGACUCAGUGAAAUUGAACUCGCUGUGAAGAUGCAGUGUACCCGCGGCAAGACGGAAAGACCCCGUGAACCUUUACUAUAGCUUGACACUGAACAUUGAGCCUUGAUGUGUAGGAUAGGUGGGAGGCUUUGAAGCGUGGACGCCAGUCUGCGUGGAGCCGACCUUGAAAUACCACCCUUUAAUGUUUGAUGUUCUAACGUGGACCCGUUACCCGGGUUGCGGACAGUGUCUGGUGGGUAGUUUGACUGGGGCGGUCUCCUCCUAAAGAGUAACGGAGGAGCACGAAGGUUGGCUAAUCCUGGUCGGACAUCAGGAGGUUAGUGCAAUGGCAUAAGCCAGCUUGACUGCGAGCGUGACGGCGCGAGCAGGUGCGAAAGCAGGUCAUAGUGAUCCGGUGGUUCUGAAUGGAAGGGCCAUCGCUCAACGGAUAAAAGGUACUCCGGGGAUAACAGGCUGAUACCGCCCAAGAGUUCAUAUCGACGGCGGUGUUUGGCACCUCGAUGUCGGCUCAUCACAUCCUGGGGCUGAAGUAGGUCCCAAGGGUAUGGCUGUUCGCCAUUUAAAGUGGUACGCGAGCUGGGUUUAGAACGUCGUGAGACAGUUCGGUCCCUAUCUGCCGUGGGCGCUGGAGAACUGAGGGGGGCUGCUCCUAGUACGAGAGGACCGGAGUGGACGCAUCACUGGUGUUCGGGUUGUCAUGCCAAUGGCACUGCCCGGUAGCUAAAUGCGGAAGAGAUAAGUGCUGAAAGCAUCUAAGCACGAAACUUGCCCCGA